rnacentral:misc_RNA from 1 species
GUGAGAUGCUCCGGCUCUGGUACCACGAAAAUUGUCGAAUAUUUCAAGACAGACUGAUUAACGAUGAAGAUAGGAACUGGUUCGAUGCAUUGCUAAAGUCUGAAAUUGAACGACGGUACCGUUUAAAAUCUGAAGAAGUCCUUGGGACUACGGAUAUACUAUUUGGUGAUUUUAUAGAUCCAUCUGUAGGAGUAGGACCUUAUGUGCAAAUAACAGAUUUUGAAAAAUUGUCGGAUGCACUGAACUAUUAUCUCGAAGAUUAUAACCUUCAAAGUACGAAACCGAUGAAACUGGUGCUAUUUUUGGAUGCGAUGAUACACAUAUCCAGAAUCUCCAGAAUAAUUAGGCAGCCUUUAGGCAAUGCGCUGCUGCUGGGUAUGGGAGGUUCAGGAAGGCAAAGUCUCACUCGGCUUGCUGCCUUUAUGUCCGAAUAUAGUUGCUUUCAAAUAGAAUUAACGAAAGCAUACGGGCAAAACGAAUGGAGAGAUAAUGUGAAACACUUGAUGCUGUCAGCUGGAUUGCAACGAAGAGAAACUGUAUUUUUGUUCUCAGAUACACAGAUUAAAUCUGAGUCAUUUCUCGAAGAUCUGAAUAAUAUUCUUAACUCCGGCGAUGUUCCCAACAUCUACCAACCUGACGAACUGGAUAAGAUCUACCAAAGUAUGAAAGGACUUGUUCAAGAAAUGGGAUUAACAGCAACAAAAUCCAAUUUAUUUGCUGUAUAUCAGAAGCAAGUGAGAACAAACUUACACAAUGUGAUUACUAUGAGCCCUAUCGGAGAAGUAUUUAGAGCAAGAUUACGACAAUUUCCGGCCUUAGUCAACAACUGUACGAUCGACUGGUUUAGCCCUUGGCCUGAUACUGCAUUGCAAUCUGUCGCACUCCGUUUCUUAAAAGAAGUUGAGGAUUUUGAUGUCUCUGAAAGCAUUCUACAAGGAAUUGUCAUGACGUUUCAAUAUAUGCAUGCCAGCGUAGUUGAAGCUAGUGAAAGGUUUAAACAAGAGCUUUCACGCCAUAACUACGUCACGCCUACGUCAUAUCUGGAACUUUUAUCCAGCUACACGGAAUUGAUGAACAAAAAGAAGGGAUCUCUUACGGAAGGUGUCGGCAGAUUAAAAACAGGUUUAGGUAAGCUUCAAACUACUGCAGAAGAAGUUAAAAUAUUGCAAAGUCAACUUAAGGAAUUGAAACCACUUCUUGAAGAAGCUGCUCGAGAUGCUGAUAUAAUGAUAACUAAAAUUGCUGCAGACACGGUUAUUGCUGAAGAAACCAAAGAAAUUGUCGAAAAAGAAGAACAGGCGGCAGCUGAAAAAGCAUAUGAAACACAAAAUAUUGCUGAGGAUGCCCAAAGGGAUUUAGAUGAAGCAUUGCCAGCUUUAUUAGCCGCUGAAGCCAGUUUGAAAGCCUUAAAUAAAAAUGACAUUAUUGAAGUAAGAUCGAUGAAAAGACCACCAGCUGGUGUAGUUUACGUCAUUGAAGCUAUUUGUAUAGUAAAGAAUAUUAAACCAAACAAAAUUCCUGGAUUUAAACCAGGAGAAAAGCUACUGGAUUAUUGGGAUCCUGGUAGAGUCAUGUUAGCGGAUCCACAAGCAUUUCUUAUGAGUCUCAUGAACUUUGACAAAGACUCGAUCACAGAAGAGAUGAUAGACAAAUUGAGGAAAUAUGUUGAAGAUCCUCUAUUUACUCCACAAAAAAUUUCAAAGGUCUCCAAAGCUUGCACUUCUCUUUGUAUGUGGAUCCACGCAAUGUUCAAAUUCUAUUUCGUCAACAAAGCAGUAGCUCCGAAGAAAGCCGCUCUCGCUAGAGCUAAAGCAGACUUGGAAGCAACCUUACAAGCCCUCGCCGAUGCCAAAGCUAAAAUGAAGGAGGUGUUGGAAGGUCUGGAACAAUUGCAAAAAGCAUUAGCUGAAAAAAUUGCGUUUAAAGAAGAAAAGGAGCAGAGCAUUGCAGUGUGUGAGGAAAAAUUAAACAGGGCCAUGAGGUUGAUUAAUGGUUUGGCAGAAGAAAAGAUAAGAUGGGAGCAAACUAUCGAGGAAAUUGAUGCGAAUGUUGUAAAUGUAACAGGAGAUAUAUUGAUUUGUUCUGGUUGCGUUGCUUAUUUGACACCUUUCACUGAUUCAUACAGACGCAGUUUGUUUGCGAGUUGGAUGGAGAAGAUAACAUAUUACCAAAUCCCAUUUACCCCGAACUGCAAUCCAGUAACUAUAUUAGGAGAACCAGUUCAGAUAAGGCUUUGGCAACUGGAUGGAUUGCCUAGAGAUUAUCUCUCUACGGAAAAUGCAGUUUUAGUUUCUUGUUCCCGCAGAUGGCCAUUGUUUAUCGAUCCGCAAGGACAGGCCAAUAAGUGGGUUAAAAAGAUGUGUAAAAAUAUGGGACUAUCCGUAUGCAAGCUUGCUGACAGAGAUUUGAUGAGAACAAUGGAAUCAUCAAUCCGUUUCGGAAAAGCAGUGCUGAUAGAAAACGUCGGCAUAGAGCUAGACCCUGCCUUAGAUCCAGUUCUACUCCAUCAAGUAUUUAUGCAGAGUGGUACUUUGGUGAUCAAAUUGGGCGAUGUUGUAGUACCGUACGAUGACAAUUUUAGAUUGUAUAUUACAACUAAGCUACCAAAUCCACAUUACACUCCAGAAAUUUCUAUUAAAGUACUGCUAGUCAAUUUUACGGUAGUAUCCACUGGCUUGCAGGACCAAUUGUUGGCUUUAGUAGUGAUGCAAGAACGACCAGAUUUGGAAGAACAGAGGAGUCAAAUUGUCGUUAGUAUAGCAACGAUGAAACAUGAGCUAAAAGAAAUACAGGACCGAAUUCUUUAUAAACUAAGUUCAUCAGAGCUUUCGCCAAUUGAAGACCUUGAUUUCAUUAUAACUCUAGAAGCUUCAAAAGUGAAGAGUGAAGAUAUUAAGAGUAAAGUAGAGUCUGCAGAAAUAACACAAAUCGACAUCGACAACACUAGAGCGCUUUAUAUUCCUGUAGCAAACAGAGCUCAGAUACUAUUCUUUUGCGUAGCUGAUCUGUCCAAUGUAGAUCCAAUGUACCAGUAUUCUUUGGAAUGGUUUAUACAAAUUUUUGUUUCUACCAUGGCUGAUACUGAAAAAUCAGAUAACAUUAUUCAACGUGUAAAGACUAUCAACGACUCAUUCACAUUCAAUCUAUAUUGCAAUAUAUGCAGGAGUCUGUUUGAAAAGCACAAGAUGCAUUUUGCAUUUUUGUUGUGUAUCAGAAUUUUAAUGGACUUGAAAAAAAUCGAUCCACAGGAAUGGCAACAUUUUUUGGCUGGAGGAACUCCAAAGCAGAGGAUGCCCAACCCUGCUUCAAGUUGGUUAUCCAGUAGAGCAUGGAAUGAAAUAUUAGCAUUAGACGCUUUGCCCACGUUCCAAGAGUUUGUUCAAACUUUUGCCUCGAACAUCGACGACUAUCGAAUCAUGUUUGAAAGUUCCGAACCCCACAGGUUUCCUUUGCCUUAUCCCUUCAACAAAACGUUCGACAAAUUCCAGAAGAUAGUAGUGCUGAAAAGCCUUAGACCAGACAAAGUUACUAACGCCAUUCAAGAUUUCUUAGCGGAAAAUCUGGGACAACAGUUCAUAGAACCCCAGACAUCUGAUUUGUCGGCCAUGUUUAAAGAAUCUGGUCCUACUAUACCCUUAAUUUUUGUUCUGUCUACUGGUACUGAUCCAGCGGCAGAACUGUAUAAGUUUGCUGAUAGAAUGAAAAUGGGAAAGAGGAUGUUUUCGAUAUCAUUGGGACAAGGUCAAGGACCAAGGGCAGAGAAGAUGAUGCAAGGCGGUGUUGAAGUUGGAUCAUGGGUGUUCUUUCAGAAUUGCCAUUUAGCUCCCAGCUGGAUGCCUCGUCUGGAACGAGUAAUAGAAUCCCUAACGCCAGAAACAACCCACAGAGAUUUCCGCAUCUGGUUGACCUCCACUCCAUCCCCCCAUUUUCCUGUAUCCAUCUUGCAAAACGGCAGCAAAAUGACAAUAGAGCCACCUGCAGGGCUCAAAGCUAACAUGAUGAGAGCAUACAGAAAUGAAGUUUCAGAAUUGACUUCGUUUAUACAAUCUGAUAAUCCUAAAUCUCCUACGUUUAGGUUAUUGGUGUUUUCGUUAUGUCUCUUUCAUGGUAUUUUAUUGGAGAGACGAAAAUUUGGACCAUUGGGAUUUAAUAUUCCCUAUGAAUUUACAGACGGUGACCUUAAAAUCUGCAUUUCACAAUUACAUAUGUUUCUGUUGGAAUACACCGAAAUACCAUUUAAAGUGCUCACCUACACUGCAGGAGAAAUUAACUACGGUGGCAGAGUUACUGAUGAUUGGGAUAGAAGAUGUUUGAUGAACAUUUUAGCUGAUUUUUACAAGAAAGAAGUCAUUGUUCCAAACUAUGUGUUUGAUCAUCAAGGAUUCUACCAUCAGAUUCGCACAGAUGUAUUAUUUGUCGACUACAUUGACUACAUAAAGACACUCCCUAUCAACGAUGAUCCCGAACUUUUCGGUAUGCAUCCUAAUGCCGACAUUACGUUUGCGCAAUCUCAAACUUACGCUUGCUUAUCCACAUUAUUACUGCUGCAACCGAAGCAAGUUGGAGGUGCAGCUGCUAGUCAAGAGGAGACCACAGCCAAUACAGCUCGCUCAAUUUUGGACCAGUUGCCUGAGUUGUUCGAUUUGGAUAAGAUUACCGAAAGGUAUCCUGUCUUAUACGAAGAAUCAUUGAAUACAGUCAUCAUACAGGAAGCUAUAAGAUACAACAAACUAUUGGUUGUUAUACAACUGAGUUUGAACGAUCUGUUGAAAGCACUUAAAGGUCUGGUGGUAAUGUCAGAGGCGCUAGAAAAGAUGUCAUUGAGCUUAUUCAGCAAUAUGGUCCCUGAUUUAUGGGCUAGUAAAGCCUAUCCUUCUUUGAAACCUUUAGAUAUUGGAGCAUUUUCCUAAGAAGAGACCAAAAGAUGGGUGUUGUAUUUAUGGUUUAUACCUCGAAGGGGCGAGAUGGAAUCCCAAUAUAGAUCAUCUAGAUGAAUCUAAUCCUAAAGAGUUGUAUACAGAUCACCCCGAGUGUGCGACGCUUCUAGUAACUCAACACUUAUUCUGUUAGUCUGGAGUUCCUCAGGCCGUUCUAGAACACAGUCAUUUUGUGCGACUAUAUAAACCAAAUUGUUCUUAUUGAAUGAAUCAGUCUGUAGUUUACAGCUGUCAUAAAAAUUGUACUAAUAAAUACGAAUUGUAAAUAAA